UAACAGUGUUAAAAAAGCAAUGUAAGGAGCAAAUUGUUCCUAAACCAGAGGAGGAGGUUGCACAGAAGAAAAAGGUAUCCCAGAAGAAACUGAAGAAACAAAAACUUAUGGCACGGAAUAAAUUUAGCAUAAAAUAAA